CCUCCCGUUCCCUCGGGAGUAGCCUAACCGGACGUGCGAAGGCGGUAACGCCUUGGUGCGAAGCUUCGGUGACAACGUACCGGCCUCCCAAAGGGGACAGUCAGACCGCGAGGAAUGACUGAGGCCUGCGAGCAUCACGCGGACCCCGGG
rfam:Leptospirillum rubarum LeptoII_Scaffold_8049_Cont25, whole genome shotgun sequence.